rnacentral:rRNA from 1 species
GGAGGUCCGAACCACUAGUGUUGAAAAACUAGGGGAUGAGCUGUGGGUAGGGGUGAAAGGCUAAACAAAUCUGGAGAUAGCUGGUUCUACCCCGAAAACUAUUUAGGUAGUGCCUCAUAUGGACACUUCCGGGGGUAGAGCACUGUAAUGGUUGAGGGGGUCGUUUAGAUCUACCUCGCCAUAGCAAACUCCGAAUCCGGAAAGUGAUGUAUGGGAGACAGACGGUGGGUGCUAACGUCCAUCGUCAAGAGGGGAAACAACCCAGACCGCCAGCUAAGGUCCCCAAUGAUUGGCUAAGUGGAAAACGAGGUGGGAAGGCAUAGACAGUCAGGAGGUUGGCUUAGAAGCAGCCAUCCUUUAAGAAAGCGUAAUAGCUCACUGAUCGAGUCGUCCUGCGCGGAAGAUGUAACGGGGC